ACAGCGAAACUGCGAAUGGCUCAUUAUAUAAGUUAUCGUUUAUUUGAUAGAUACCUUACUACUUGGAUAACCGUGGUAAUUCUAGAGCUAAUACAUGCUAAAAAUCCCGACUUCGGAAGGGAUGUAUUUAUUAGAUUAAAAACCAAUGCCCUCUGGGCUCCUUGGUGAUUCAUGAUAACUUCUCGAAUCGCACGGCCUUGCGCCGGCGAUGGUUCAUUCAAAUUUCUUCCCUAUCAACUUUCGAUGUUUGGGUAGUGGCCAAACAUGGUUGCAACGGGUAACGCGAGGGUUAGGGCUCGACCCCGGAGAAGGAGCCUGAGAAACGGCUACUACAUCCAAGGAAGGCAGCAGGCGCGCAAAUUACCCAAUCCCGAUUCGGGGAGGUAGUGACAAUAAAUACUGAUACAGGGCUCUUUUGGGUCUUGUAAUUGGAAUGAGUACAAUUUAAAUCCCUUAACGAGGAACAAUUGGAGGGCAAGUCUGGUGCCAGCAGCCGCGGUAAUUCCAGCUCCAAUAGCGUAUAUUAAAGUUGUUGUGGUUAAAAAGCUCGUAGUUGAACCUUGGGCCUGGCUGGCCGGUCCGCCUCACCGCGUGUACUGGUCCGGCCGGGCCUUUCCCUCUGUGGAACCCCAUGCCCUUCACUGGGCGUGGCGGGGAAACAGGACUUUUACUUUGAAAAAAUUAGAGUGCUCCAGGCAGGCCUAUGCUCGAAUACAUUAGCAUGGAAUAAUGAMAUAGGACGUGCGGUUCUAUUUUVUUGGUUCUAGGACCGCGUAAUGAUUAAUAGGGACAGUCGGGGGCAUCARUAUUCA
rnacentral:rRNA from 2 species